rnacentral:lncRNA from 1 species
AAAUCGACGAUCGGCUCCGUUAGAUUUGAUCUACAUUAUUGAAAGUAUUUGAAAACUAAAUUUCAUAAUUUCGACAUCAUUUACCUAUCAAAUGAGUAGUCUAAAAAUUAACAGUUGAAAAUAAAAAUCUCAUAAAAAAUAAUGAUAAAAGACUUGAAUUUAAGAUCAGAGAUACUAAUCUUACUCUAAAUAGUAAAAAAAAAAGUUUUAUAAAAAUUUUAUCAGAUUUGGUUUGUUUUACACCGUUAAAUUCACAAAUGCAUCACAUCAACCAUUAAAAUUAUUAAUUUUGAGACCUUUUAAUCACUAGCUAAAUGAUGUCAAAAAAUUAUAAAAUUUCGUUUUCAAAUACUUUUAAUAGUGUAGAUCAAGUCUAACGGAACUGAUCGUCGAUUUAGAAGCCAC